UUACUGAUUUGUUCUCCAAGUGGGUCAUGGCUAGGCCUCUGAGAGGCAAGAACGGUCCAGGGGUAGGACUUAUGGUGACACAAACUGUUUUGGCACAGGGUGGUGUCAAAAAGAUUAUCACUGAUAUGGGAAGAGAGUUUGUUAAUGACUGUAACAAAGCUCUUUUUGAAACCUUUGGGAUAGAGCAUGCUGUAACUUCAGCCUACCACCCGCAGAGCAAUGGGCAAGAUGAGCGCUCAAACCAGAACAUUAAGCGCCAUCUUGCAAAGUACUGUAAUGAGGAGCAGAAUGACUGGGACGUCUAUCUGCAACACGCUGUUUAUUCGAUAAACACCUCGAAGCAGCGUUCCACAAAGACACGCCCAAAGAUGUCGGCAUCGCUUCUGAUGUCCAGGAAUUGAGUGUAUUGUGCGACAUCUCGAUGGAAGCUGUAGGUGCUGAAUGUAGGUAUUUCUUCAUUUAUACAUCUCCACAUAUGUACUGUCAAGUUCAAUGUAGAGUGUUGAAUGUGUUUUAUGUUCCUUUUUCCUAAAAGGUGCAGAUGUUGAUCACACAUUGGAAGUUGUCGUGCCACGUUUCGCGACUUAGACAGUCUGGCAGGCCCAGAGUUCAACUGGCUGACCGAUGAUAUUGUGAAUACGUGCGUUGCAGUGAUUGCUGCAGAUCACAAACAACGUUCCACUGACAAAGCCGUGUUCCACGCCCUUACCACAGACGCAUACACGUUGUGGUGUCGUGACUGGACAGCACAUAGUUGUGUUACGGAAAGAACUUUAAGCUGUAUCAAUGGCAUUAAGCCAGAUGGCGUGGUGCUACUGCCCCGUCUCGUUGGUCUGCGUUAAAAUAUAGCUUUACAGGUUUGGUCAGCGGACACCUGGGGUUAAAUGCGUUGUACUGUAGCUUUACAGGUUCGGUUAGAUAAGGUAAAGUUGUGCCCUGCUGCUGGCGUUCCCUAGUCAAUGCCAGUCACUUGGAGUUAGACAUGCCUUGCUUCUGUCACCGGUCACAUGGGUUAGACUUUGUCUUACAGGUGUGGUUAGCGCACACCUGGGG